rnacentral:rRNA from 1 species
UACGGAGGAUGCGAGCGUUGUCCGGAUUUACUGGGCGUAAAGGGAGCGUAGGCGGACUUUUAAGUGAGAUGUGAAAUACUCGGGCUCAACUUGAGUGCUGCAUUUCAAACUGGAAGUCUAGAGUGCAGGAGAGGAGAAUGGAAUUCCUAGUGUAGCGGUGAAAUGCGUAGAGAUUAGGUAGAACACCAGUGGCGAAGGCGAUUCUCUGGACUGUAACUGACGCUGAGGCUCGAAAGCGUGGGGAGCAAACAGG